CUCGUCUACAGUCUCGGGUCACUAAAGAACUCAUCAUGAACUGCAAAGAGCCCAUUCGCAGUACCUUUCCAGACCAGAAAAAGUACAAGUAUACGGUCAUGGGGAAGGAGGAGAUACAUUUCAAAUUGCUUCACAGUGACGUGGCUGAGGCGGAUCGCAUAUUUGAUGACGUUCGUCAACGACCAAGGAAGUUUAUCUGCAUGAACGAUGACCUUGACUACAC